rnacentral:misc_RNA from 1 species
UGGAUCAAAAUAACAAGUGUCUCUCAAUGCCUGAUGGGGUAUUAAUGGAUUCUGGAUUCGGAUAUCAUUAUGAUCCUGCUACUGCCCUCCUGUUUGAAGACAAUGCUGGUGAAGUUGCUUCAACUUGCUGCCCAAAUUUAGCUGGUUUUGGGUAUGCUGACAUUAAGGAUCAACAAGGAUAUAACCAAAAUGCUAUUAACCAAUAUUGACAAAGAGAAAGGCUUUUUCCUUUCACAUGUAUAUAUAUGAUUUGGACCUUAAAUAGGCUCUGAUGAUGAUAACAAGCAUCACUCUCAAGUAACUGUAGCUUAGUAGAUUUUAGGCAAAAGCUUUUGUUCUGUGCAUUUGGACAACCCUUUCAGCAAGCUCUAGCUAGCUAAUAGGAACCACCUAUAUAUAUAUA